UUCUCUACUGAUUUAAUUAACACUUCUCUUCUGAUUUAAUUAACACUUUCACUACUGAUUUAAAUUUUGCCAUGUGGGAGGAAAAUUUUUCCCGCCCAGAUUCCCCAUGGUUUGAGAAGAUGAAAAAUCAAUGAUUAAUUGAUUUAUUACCUAGAUAUAAUAUUACCCCAUCGAUAUAUUUGACAUAAAAAAGUGACCCAAUCAUCUAGAGAUUCAUUAUAUGAUGCAGACUUCCAUUUCAAUAUGAAAUAUGUACAUGUGUUGCUGUGCAAUAUUCUUUUUAUGAUGUAUUUUGAUAAUCAUGUAUUGUAUGUCCGACAAAUAAUUUCAAAGGUUAAGACAAUGAUAUUUCAUUAAAACCAGUUUAUAUGCUGUGGAAGUUAUCAUUGCUUGAUUUGACAUUGAACACAGCAAUAUCUUUAUACAAUGUAUUUUGUUAAUCAUGUAUGGUAUGUCCAACAAAUAAUUUCAAAGAUGAAGGCAAUGAUAUUUCAUUAAAAUCAAUUAAUAUACUGUGAAAGUUACCAUUGCUUAAUAUGACAUUGAAAUGUUGUAGUUUACCAUUUUUGUAACCAUCAAAUAUGUGAAUAGGGCCACAUGUUAGUGCUUGGUAUUUAUUGUAUUAUGAUUUUCCUAUAUUUUGUUUCUAAAUUCAUCAUGUU
rnacentral:lncRNA from 1 species